rnacentral:ncRNA from 1 species
UUUAUUUACUGGGGGAGCCGAGUGGCUGAGACAGUCUUUUGCUGAACCCUUUGUACCUGAUCUGGAUGAUGCCAGCGGAGGGAAGUAUGCUUACAUAGUU